GCGUGAGGGACGAAGGCCUCUGGGCUGUAAACCUCUUUUCUCAGGGAAGAAGAUAUGACGGUACUUGAGGAAUAAGCCACGGCUAAUUCCGUGCCAGCAGCCGCGGUAAUACGGGAGUGGCAAGCGUUAUCCGGAAUUAUUGGGCGUAAAGCGUCCGCAGGCGGCUUUUCAAGUCUGCUGUUAAAGCGUGGAGCUUAACUCCAUCAUGGCAGUGGAAACUGAAAGGCUUGAGUAUGGUAGGGGCAGAGGGAAUUCCCGGUGUAGCGGUGAAAUGCGUAGAUAUCGGGAAGAACACCAGUGGCGAAGGCGCUCUGCUGGGCCAUUACUGACGCUCAUGGACGAAAGCCAGGGGAGCGAAAGGGAUUAGAUACCCCUGUAGUCCUGGCCGUAAACGAUGAACACUAGGUGUCGGGGGAAUCGACCCCUUCGGU
rnacentral:rRNA from 1 species